UGCAAUCGUCGAGUGUUACGUGCUAUUCCUUUUAUGAAUUAAAAAUGUUUCCAAACUGUCUAGACGUUAUACCCAUACAGCUAUAUUAAUCGCGUUGUGCACAGCUGGUGUUCUCCAGAGUGAAAUUCGACGAUCUCUGUCGAUCGCAUAAAGAUGAUACUGAAAACAGAAAAAUGGAUUUGCCGAUCGGAAUGUACGGCUCGUUUCGUUUUCCACUUCGAUGUCAACUUAAAAACUACGAGUAAAAAGUUAUACACUCCUUUAGUGUUUCGCAACGGUCGGAGGGUGGACGUACGAUAGUAAUAAUAACGAUAAUACGACAAUAAAACGAAGAACAAACGUUGGUUCAUCGAUCGUCAACUCAAAAGCUACUGUGUGUAAAAACAACACGGGCAUCGCGCCGCGGAGUAAAAGGUGUUCGUGCGGUAUUCGACGUCGAAGCCACCGAACCCAACCGGCGAAGGAGAACGAACGAGGGGCAAAAAAAAAAAAAAAAAUAAACUCCUAUGUAAUACUUUAUCGCUGAAAAAUAUUUAAAUAGUGUUCAUGCAAAGUAAAAUGUGCGUAUAUUUAUCGUACGAUUUGCAUUUUAUUGGCAACCUGCAUCUCCUCCGAAAGUCUGCAACGAACAGUAGGUAACCGUUUUCCUUCCAACAAAGUCAACCGCGGUGCUUUGCUGGUGUUAACAAAUGUUUUUUAUUAUUUUUUUUUUUUUCUAACAAAUACACUACAGCACGUUGUCUAUAGAUUUUCAUACAGUUGGAUUACAUUUUCGAAUAGAAUUUGGUCCAAUUGGCGUUCAGAUAUUUGUUUCACAUUAUUAAUAAUUCACAAAUUAGAAACCAAUUUUAUUCGUAAUAUUAUUAUACUGUCAUAAAAUAUUUUUGUGUCGUUGGAUAUGGUUCGAUUAAUGCCUGCUCGAUAUUUUGGAAAUCAAUCAUAAUGCGCAAUAUUAUAAUUUAAAUGUUUAGAAAAUAUUCAAAUUAUAUUUCUGAAUAAAUAGUUACAAAUACUUCAGCAAUAACGGCUAGUUAAAAAUGCCCCAAGAACAUAACACUACGUAGUACAAGAAACAUGUUAUAACGCGAUAUUAUAUAAAAAUAAUAUUAUAAUAUCGGUCCAUUUACGAAUGGAAAAUCAUACGAGUAAGUAUUCCUAAUAUUAUAGUCUGUAUUAAAUAUAAAAACAACGGUGAUAUUAUUAUAAUUUUAUGAAACGUACUAACUAUACUAUACACAAUCAGUGGUGUAACGAAUUUUUUUUC